AGAACGAACGCUGGCGGUAUGCCUAACACAUGCAAGUCGAACGAGAAAGUGAUCUUCGGAUCGCGAGUAGAGUGGCGCACGGGUGAGUAACACGUGGAUAACCUGCCCUAUGGUCAGGGAUAACACUUCGAAAGGGGUGCUAAUACCUGAUAAGCCUACGACCUCCUCGGGGGAUGUAGGAAAAGAUUUAUUGCCAUAGGAUGGGUCCGCGGUCCAUUAGCUAGUUGGUGGGGUAAUGGCCUACCAAGGCGACGAUGGAUAGCUGGUCUGAGAGGAUGAUCAGCCACACUGGAACUGAGACACGGUCCAGACUCCUACGGGAGGCAGCAGUGGGGAAUUUUGCGCAAUGGACGAAAGUCUGACGCAGCAAUACCGCGUGAAGGAUGAAGGCCCUUGGGUCGUAAACUUCUGUCAGUGAGGAAGAAAUACUCGUAAGAGUGCUGACGGUACCCACAAAGGAAGCACCGGCUAACUCCGUGCCAGCAGCCGCGGUAAUACGGAGGGUGCAAGCGUUGUUCGGAAUUAUUGGGCGUAAAGAGCAUGUAGGCGGACUAUUAAGUCUGGUGUGAAAGCCCUGGGCUCAACCCAGGAAGUGCAUUGGAUACUGAUAGUCUUGAGUAUGGGAGAGGAAAGUGGAAUUCCGAGUGUAGGAGUGAAAUCCGUAGAUAUUCGGAGGAACACCAGUGGCGAAGGCGGCUUUCUGGACCAAUACUGACGCUGAGAUGCGAAAGCGUGGGGAGCGAACAGGAUUAGAUACCCUGGUAGUCCACGCCGUAAACGAUGGGUACUAGGUGUUGCGGGUAACCACUCCUGCAGUGCCGUAGCUAACGCAUUAAGUACCCGCCUGGGGAGUACGGCCGCAAGGCUA
rnacentral:rRNA from 1 species